rnacentral:misc_RNA from 1 species
UUGAAUAAGUUGAGAGCCUGUUUGCUGGCUGCCCUGCAUGUUGUGCACGGCUCUCUGACUUUUUCUACCAUCCACCUGUGCACCUUUGGCCUCAUGCUGGCUUCGGCUGGCAGAGGAUUUUACACAAACUGAAAUGUAAUGAUAAACUGUUGUGUGCAUAUGCACUACUAAUA